rnacentral:rRNA from 1 species
GACGAACGCUGGCGGCGUGCUUAACACAUGCAAGUCGAACGAAGUGGCGCACGGGUGAGUAACGCGUAAUCAACCUGCCCUUCAGAGGGGGACAACAGUUGGAAACGACUGCUACUACCGCAUACUUAAGGAGGGGCUUGCGUCGGAUUAGCUAGUUGGAGGGGUAACGUCCCACCAAGGCGAUGAUCAGUAGCCGGUCUGAGAGGAAGAACGGCCACAUUGGGACUGAGACACGGCCCAGACUCCUACGGGAGGCAGCAGUGGGGAAUCUGCCGCAAUGGACGAAAGUCUGACGGAGCAACGCCGCGGGAGUGAUGACGGCCUUCGGGUUGUAAAGCUCUGUUAAUCGGGACGCGGUACCGGAAUAGAAAGCCACGGCUAACUACGUGCCAGCCGCCGCGGUAAUAC